CAGCCGCCGCGGGAAUACGUAGGUCCCGAGCGUUGUCCGGAUUUAUUGGGCGUAAAGGGAGCGCAGGCGGUUUAGUAAGUCUGAAGUUAAAGGCAUUGGCUCAACCAAUGUAUGCUUUGGAAACUGUUAGACUUGAGUGCAGAAGGGGAGAGUGGAAUUCCAUGUGUAGCGGUGAAAUGCGUAGAGAUGUGGAGGAACACCGAUGGCGAAGGCAGCCCCCUGGGCCAACACUGACGCUCAUGCACGAAAGCGUGGGGAGCAAACAGGAUUAGAGACCCGCGUAGUCCCUGUCUCUUAUACA
rnacentral:rRNA from 1 species